rnacentral:rRNA from 1 species
AGAGUUUGAUCCUGGCUCAGAUUGAACGCUGGCGGAAUGCUUUACACAUGCAAGUCGAACGGUAACAGCAGAGCUUGCUCUGGCUGACGAGUGGCGGACGGGUGAGUAAUAUAUCGGAACGUGUCCAAUAAUGGGGGAUAACUAGCCGAAAGGUUGGCUAAUACCGCAUACGCCCUGAGGGGGAAAGCUGGGGAUCUUCGGACCUGGCGUUAAUGGAGCGGCCGAUACCUGAUUAGCUAGUAGGUGGGGUAAAAGCCUACCUAGGCAACGAUCAGUAGCUGGUCUGAGAGGACGACCAGCCACACUGGGACUGAGACACGGCCCAGACUCCUACGGGAGGCAGCAGUGGGGAAUUUUGGACAAUGGGGGCAACCCUGAUCCAGCCAUUCCGCGUGAGUGAAGAAGGCCUUCGGGUUGUAAAGCUCUUUCGCAAGAGAAGAAACGAUAUAGGUUAAUAGCCUAUGUUAAUGACGGUAUCUUGACAAGAAGCACCGGCUAACUACGUGCCAGCAGCCGCGGUAAUACGUAGGGUGCAAGCGUUAAUCGGAAUUACUGGGCGUAAAGCGUGCGCAGGCGGUUUGGUAAGUCAGAUGUGAAAUCCCCGAGCUCAACUUGGGAACUGCGUUUGAAACUACCAGACUAGAAUAUGUCAGAGGGGGGUAGAAUUCCACGUGUAGCAGUGAAAUGCGUAGAGAUGUGGAGGAAUACCAAUGGCGAAGGCAGCCCCCUGGGAUAAUAUUGACGCUCAUGUACGAAAGCGUGGGGAGCGAACAGGAUUAGAUACCCUGGUAGUCCACGCCCUAAACGAUGUCAACUAGUUGUUGGUGGAGUAAAAUCCAUGAGUAACGUAGCUAACGCGUGAAGUUGACCGCCUGGGGAGUACGGUCGCAAGAUUAAACUCAAAUGAAUUGA